ACACACUCAGGGAGUACACCAUGUGAAGACUGGACUUAAACAGCUACACCACCAGAAGCCGAGAGAGAGGCUGGAACAUAGCCUUCCCUUUGGAGCCCUAGCAGAUGCUAAUCCAGCGUGCGUCCUGACAGAGGUUGAAGGGGGCUUCUCAAGUCCCAGGUCCAGCUUGGUGUGGUUCAGCUACUCAAGAGACAUCUGCUGCUAAUGGAUGAGCAGUCAACCUGGACGCAGGAAAUCAUUUUUUAUUUGGAAUAACUGGGAGAUGAAACAGGAAGCUCUAUGACACACUUGAUCGAAUAUGACAGACACCGAAAAUCACGACUCAGCCCCCUCCAGCACCUCUACCUGUUGCCCGCCGAUCACAGCCGGAAUGCAGCUGAAAGAUUCCCUGGGGCCUGGUUCCAACCGCCCACUGUGGACUCUGAGGCCUCUGCAUUUGCGGGUGGUCUGCCUGUGAUAUUUUGGUCAUGGGCUGGUCUGGUCGGUUUCCCAUUUGUCUGGCCAGUCUCUAUGUGUCUUAAUCCCUUGUCCUUCAUUAAAAGCAAAACUAAAGAAAA
rnacentral:lncRNA from 1 species